UGUUGAUGGCUGGACAUUGCAUCAUCCUAGAAAACUUGGAGGCCAGUGAGGGCAAAAAUAAAAAGUUAUAAGACUUUUAAAAAUGUGGAUUUUAGGGUUAUCUUUGGCGCCCCCUAGAACCUAAACCGUGGGGUGCAGCGUCAUGAUUUGAAUAACUUUUAAUGGCCAUGGGGUGUAGAUUGGCCUGAGCAAAUGUGGUGCCGGUGGAACGAAAGCCUUCGGAGGAGUUAGCGAAAUUCCAAUGUGUGCGGAUCGGCAAAAAAUGCAAAAUAACCCUUUAACCGUACAUUUGACAGAUACGCCCGCACUGACUUUUUUGUAGAUCUUAUUGAGAUACAUGUGUGUGUCAAUUUUUGUGUCAUUUUGACAAAGCGUACAGGCGUGACAGUCAAUAGUGUGAAUUUUCACCUUAGGGGGCGCUAUGGAGCCAUUUUGCAUUUUCUUGUUUGGGCGACUUCGGAAUAUCAAAUUUUUCACCAGGCCCGGUCGUCCUGCCAAAUUUCCUGAGUUUUCGCCAGUGGGAAGUGGGCCAUUUUCCAGUUCAAAGGGGAGGAAAAAGAAGAAAGAAAGAAACAACUAGGGCCCCGGUGGGGCACUGUCGGGCCCGAGCCGCGUCGCGCCGCCCCCAGCGCGACCGCCUCCCCCUCCCGAUCGCGUCACACUCAAGGUCCAAAGAUGGUGUGCGCACUUGUCUGUGGUCAUUUCCCAUUAUAAUGAAUGGGAGGCGCAGUUUCUACCAAAACACUCGCUGCAGACAAACUUCAUGUCCUAUUUGAAAAAAGUCUGGACCAUGAGUGAGGGCACAAACACAGCUAUGAUAUAUCGAAAUGGCAGGUUGCUCCUCCUUACGGUGUUGCCUGGAGAGCGAUGCGAUUGAGCCAUUGAGCGAUGGGCAGGUUAAACUUGACUUUUUCUCCUGCCUUGGGGGGGGGGGGAUGUGGAUUCCUUUAAGAAUGUGGAUUUUUGGGUCAUCUUUGGCGCCCCCUAGAACGUAAACCGUGGGGUGCAGCGUCAUGAUUUUUACAACUUUGCAUGGCCAUGGGGUGUAGAUUGGCCUGAGCAAAUUUGGUGUCAGUGGGACGAAAGCCUUAGGAGGAGUUAGCCACAUUCCAAUGUGUGCGAAUCGGCAAAAAAUGCAAAAUAGCCCUUUAACCGUACAUUUUACAGAUACGCGCGCAUUGACUUUUUUGUAGAUCUUAUUGAGAUACAUAUGUGUGUCAAUUUUUGUGUCAAUAUGAUAAAGCGUACAGGCGUGACAGUCAAUAGUGUGAAUUUCCACCUUAGGGGACAAGAAAAAAUUGACUUUUUUCUCCUGCCAUGGGGGGGCGCUCUUUUGGGGAGUAAAAAUUCCUUCACAAAUGUGUUGAUGGCUGGACAUUGCAUCAUCCUAGAAAACUUGGAGGCCAGUGAGGACAAAAAUAAAAAGUUAUAAGACUUUUAAAUAUGUGGAUUUUAGUGUUAUCUUUGGCGCCCCCUAGAACCUAAACCGUGGGGUGCAGCGUCAUGAUUUGAAUAACUUUUAAUGGCCAUGGGGUGUAGAUUGGCCUGAGCAAAUGUGGUGCCGGUGGAACGAAAGCCUUCGGAGGAGUUAGCGAAAUUCCAAUGUGUGCGGAUCGGCAAAAAAUGCGGAAUAACCCUUUAACCGUACAUUUGACAGAUACGCGUGCUUUGACUUUUUCGUAGAUCUUAUUGAGAUACAUGUGUGUGUCAAUUUUUGUGUCAUUUUGCCAAAGCGUACAGGUGUUACACUCAACAAUGUGUAUUUUCACCUUAGGGGACAAGACAAAAUGGACUUUUUUCUCCUGCCAUGGGGGGGCGCUCUUUUGGGGAGUCAAAAUUCCUUCACAAAUGUGUUGAUGGCUGGACAUUGCAUCAUCCUAGAAAACUUGGAGGCCAGUGAGGGCAAAAAUAAAAAGUUAUAAGACUUUUAAAUAUGUGGAUCUUAGGGUUAUCUUUGGCGCCCCCUAGAACCUAAACCGUGGGGUGCAGCGUCAUGAUUUGAAUAACUUUUAAUGGCCAUGGGGUGUAGAUUGGCCUGAGCAAAUGUGGUGCCGGUGGAACGAAAGCCUUCGGAGGAGUUAGCGAAAUUCCAAUGUGUGCGGAUCGGCAAAAAAUGCGAAAUAACCCUUUAACCGUACAUUUGACAGAUACGCCCGCACUGACUUUUUUGUAGAUCUUAUUGAGAUACAUGUGUGUGUCAAUUUUUGUGUCAUUUUGACAAAGCGUACACGCGUGACAGUCAAUAGUGUGAAUUUUCACCUUAGGGGGCGCUAUGGAGCCAUUUUGCAUUUUCUUGUUUGGGCGACUUCGGAAUAUCAAAUUUUUCACCAGGCCCGGUCGUCCUGCCAAAUUUCAUGAGUUUUCGCCAGUGGGAAGUGGGCCAUUUUCCAGUUCAAAGGGGAGGAAAAAGAAGAAAGAAAGAAAGAAAGAAACAAAGACUAGGGCCCCGGUGGGGCACUGUCGGGCCCGAGCCGCGUCGUGCC